AUUGAACGCUGGCGGCAGGCCUAACACAUGCGAGUCGAGCGGAGCGGCGGACGGGUGUGUAAUGCCUAGGAAUCUGCCUGGUAGUGGGGGAUAACGUCGGGAAACGGGCGCUAAUACCGCAUACUAUAAGAUGAGCUUAGGUGGGAUUAGCUGGGUGGUGGGGUAAAGGCCUACCAAGGCGACGAUCCGUAUCUGGACUGAGAGGAUGAUCAGUCACACUGGAACUGAGACACGGUCCAGACUCCUACGGAAGGCAGCAUUGGGGAAUAUUGGACAAUGGGCGAAAGCCUAAUGCAGCACUGCGGCGUGUGUGAAGAAGUUCUUCGGAUUUUAAAGCACUUUAAGUUGGGAGGCGUUACCAACAGAAAAAGCAACGGCUAACUUCGUGCCAGCAGCCGCGGUAAUUC
rnacentral:rRNA from 1 species